rnacentral:rRNA from 1 species
CAGGACGAACGCUGGCGGCGUGCUUAACACAUGCAAGUCGAGCGGAGAAUAUAGCAAUAUAUUCUUAGCGGCGGACGGGUGAGUAACGCGUGGGCAAUCUGCCUCAUACAGGGGGGAUAACACUGGGAAACUAGUGCUAAUACCGCAAUAAAAAUAGUGAAGUGGCAUCACUUUACUAUCAAAAGGAGCAAUCCGGUGUGAGAUGAGCCCGCGUCCGAUUAGCUAGUUGGAGGGUAACGGCCCACCAAGGCGACGAUCGGUAGCCGAACUGAGAGGUUGAUCGGCCACAUUGGGACUGAGACACGGCCCAGACUCCUACGGGAGGCAGCAGGUGGGGAAUAUUGCGACCAAGUGGGGGAAACCCUGACGCAGCAACGCCGCGUGAAGGAUGUAAGGUUUUCGGAUUGUAAACUUCUUUGAUUGGGGACGAUAAUGACGGUACCCAAAAAACAAGCCACGGCUAACUACGUGCCAGCCGCCGC